GAAGGGGACCUGAAACCGGCUGGGGGAGGGGCUCUGGGGCCGCCAGAGGAAGCACCCAGAACCACAGCGCAGACACACGGCCCGGAUCGGCCCGACGCCAGCCCGAUGGCGGAGGCUCCCAGCCACCCCAGCUCUGAGGAGCAGGAAGAGCUCCUGGCCGAGAAAGACUCGGGGCUCACCACUCAGUGGAGUGUCGAAGAUGAGCAAGAGGCCGCCCGGGAGCGGCGCCGUCGGGAGAGGGACAGCAAGCUGCGGGCCCAGGACGAGGACGGGGGCAGCCGGGCCCCCCAGCUGCCUGAGCAGGAGACCCUCCUCAGCCUGAAGCCCGCAGAGGCUCCGGAACCGGAUGAGGAUGAGGGUUUCAGCGACUGGUCCCAGAAGCCUGAGCAGCAGCAGCAGCAGCAGCACCGGGGGGCUGGGGAGGCCCCUUGGGGCGAGAGUCCAGAGGGCCAGCAAGAGGAGGAGGACAGGCCCCACCAGCACACCUGCGGGAGCCAGGAUGCAGACGAGCAGAGCCCGGCCAGCGUCUGCCUGGAGGAGCUGCGUCUGAGCCCCAGCUCCGAGCUCCAGGCAGGGCCGGGAGCAGAGGAGACCCAGUCCAGGAGCCCGGAGGGGACUGUCCAGGGCAGCCUGGGGCCAGGAGACGCUGGAGAGACAGAAGAGCAGCACCACAAAAGCCAGCAGCCCAGGACACCCAGCCCCCUGGCCUUGGAGGACGCUACCGAACAGAGCUCACCUCCCCUGAGCCCCAGCACCAAACUCAUCGACAGAACCGAGUCCCUGAACCGCUCCAUCAAGAAGAGUAACAGCGUGAAGAAGUCCCAGCCAGCCCUGCCCAUCUCCAAGAUCGACGAGCGGCUGGAGCAGUACACUCAGGCCGUCGAGGCUCCUUCUGCUCCGCAGACCGCCGGCCGGGCCUCCAGGCUAGUGCGCCAGCCCUCCAUCGAGCUGCCCAGCAUGGCCGUGGCCAGCACCAAGAGCCGGUGGGAGACGGGAGAGGUGCAGGCCCAGUCCACGGCCAAGGCCCCCUCCUGCAAGGAUAUUGUAGCUGGAGACAUGAGCAAGAAAAGCCUCUGGGAGCAGAAAGGAGGCUCCAAGGCGCCAUCAACAAUGAAGAGCACCCCAUCUGGAAAGAGGUACAAGUUCGUGGCCACUGGACACGGGAAGUAUGAGAAGGUGCUCGUGGACGAGGGCUCGGGGCCCUAGGCGGCCCUUCCUGAUGCUGCUCUCCCGCGAACGGCUUCACCUUUUUCCAGCUCCGCGCCGCAGGGGAGCUCGGACCUCCUUCCGGGAGGCCGGGGCAGGAAAGGGACUGUCACUGGUGAUUGACCCAAGGAGCCACCCGUCACAGAGGCCAAGGGUUCCCAAGGAAGGCCCAGGAUGGGCCAAGAGAGAGCACCUGCCUGGGGAUCUCCAGGUCAAGAGACAGCACCUCCUGCACCACACGCUCGGGCCCAGCCAGCCCCCAGCCCCUGCUUGCAGCCUCCUCCUGCCAGUGCAAUAAAGCCCUCGUGUGUGCCAGAUGCUCAUUCUGUGUUCACUAAUUGGGGGAGGGACACGGGAGCGGUGUCAGCCCAGUCGGGGAGCCCUCCCCACCCACCCUAGACAGUGGUAGCACCCAGGCCUCCGGCCUCCAGGUUCCGACACCUUGUCCUGUCCCUGCCUUCUGCAGUGUUUGACUCUGGGAUCCGAGGUGUAUGGUGGCUUAAGUGCGGGGCUCAUGACGGUUGAGAUCCGGUCCUCCUCUCCCAGAGCACCUGUGAUGCUUCCCGCCUUGACUGGCCUGAUUAAACUUUACUGUGCUUGAAA